rnacentral:rRNA from 1 species
AGAGUUUGCUCCUGGCUCAGGAUGAACGCUGGCGGCGUGCCUAACACAUGCAAGUCGAACGAAGCGCCCGCGCGGAUUCCCUCGGGAUGAAGCGCGGAUGACUGAGUGGCGGACGGGUGAGUCACGCGUGGGCAACCUGCCCCGUGCCGGGGGACAACAGCCGGAAACGGCUGCUAAUACCGCAUGAUCCGGAAGGGCCGCAUGGCCUUUCCGGGAAAGCUCCGGCGGCGCGGGAUGGGGUCGCGGCCCAUUAGGUAGUAGGCGGGGUAGAGGCCCACCUAGCCGACGAUGGGUAGCCGGACUGAGAGGUCGAACGGCCACAUUGGGACUGAGAUACGGCCCAGACUCCUACGGGAGGCAGCAGUGGGGAAUUUUGCGCAAUGGGGGAAACCCUGACGCAGCAACGCCGCGUGCGGGACGAAGGCCCUCGGGUCGUAAACCGCUUUCAGCAGGGAAGACUUUACGACGGUACCUGCAGAAGAAGCUCCGGCUAACUACGUGCCAGCAGCCGCGGUAAUACGUAGGGGGCGAGCGGUAUCCGGAUUCAUUGGGCGUAAAGCGCGCGUAGGCGGCCGCCUAAGCGGAACCUCUAACCCCGGGGCUCAACCUCGGGCCGGGUUCCGGACUGGGCGGCUCGAGUGCGGUAGAGGAGAGCGGAAUUCCCGGUGUAGCGGUGGAAUGCGCAGAUAUCGGGAAGAACACCGAUGGCGAAGGCAGCUCUCUGGGCCGUCACUGACGCUGAGGCGCGAGAGCUGGGGGAGCGAACAGGAUUAGAUACCCUGGUAGUCCCAGCCGUAAACGAUGGAUACUAGGUGUGGGGGGAUCCCCCCUCCGUGCCGCAGCCAACGCAUUAAGUAUCCCGCCUGGGGAGUACGGCCGCAAGGCUAAAACUCAAAGGAAUUGACGGGGGCCCGCACAAGCAGCGGAGCAUGUGGCUUAAUUCGAAGCAACGCGAAGAACCUUACCAGGGCUUGACAUGCGCCUGAAGCCGCGGAGACGCGGUGGCCGAGAGGAGGGCGCGCAGGUGGUGCAUGGCUGUCGUCAGCUCGUGUCGUGAGAUGUUGGGUUAAGUCCCGCAACGAGCGCAACCCCCGUCCCGUGUUGCCAGCAUUGAGUUGGGGACUCGCGGGAGACUGCCGGCGUCAAGCCGGAGGAAGGUGGGGACGACGUCAAGUCAUCAUGCCCCUUAUGCCCUGGGCUGCACACGUGCAACAAUAGCCGGUACAGAGGGUUGCCACCCCGCGAGGGGGAGCGGAUCCCGGAAAGCCGGCCCCAAUUCGGAUCGCAGGCUGCAACCCGCCUGCGUGAAGCCGGAGUUGCUAGUAAUCGCGGAUCAGCACGCCGCGGUGAAUACGUUCCCGGGCCUUGCACUCACCGCCCGUCA